rnacentral:rRNA from 1 species
AGAGUUUGAUCCUGGCUCAGGACGAACGCUGGCGGCGUGCUUAACACAUGCAAGUCGAACGAUGAAGCCCAGCUUGCUGGGUGGAAGAGUGGCGAACGGGUGAGUAACACGUGAGCAACCUGCCCUUCACUCUGGGAUAAGCACUGGAAGCGGUGUCUAAUACUGGAUAUGCACAAUGGCCGCAUGGUCUGUUGUGGGAAAGAUUUAUCGGUGAAGGAUGGGCUCGCGGCCUAUCAGCUUGUUGGUGAGGUAGUGGCUCACCAAGGCGACGACGGGUAGCCGGCCUGAGAGGGUGACCGGCCACACUGGGACUGAGACACGGCCCAGACUCCUACGGGAGGCAGCAGUGGGGAAUAUUGCACAAUGGGCGCAAGCCUGAUGCAGCAACGCCGCGUGAGGGAUGACGGCCUUCGGGUUGUAAACCUCUUUUAGUAGGGAAGAAGCGAAAGUGACGGUACCUGCAGAAAAAGCACCGGCUAACUACGUGCCAGCAGCCGCGGUAAUA